rnacentral:misc_RNA from 1 species
ACCUGGAGAUGACAAAUCAAAAUAUGCUAAGGUUUACUCUCCUUUAAAAUAUCCAUAGUUGUAAAAUCUUUUAACUUGACAGCAUAUGAGGCAAAGCACAACAUAGAUAGUAAUUAUACAGUUUGUGUAUGGGGAAAAGAGCAACUAAAGUAGCCACUUGCCAGUAGCUAGGGAAAUAAAACAAAAUUUGGCAAUUUUAUAAAUCCA